rnacentral:sRNA from 1 species
UUUUUCUCAUUGCAGCUUCCUUGUUUCAAAAAGAGAAUUUUUGACAGCACUGCAAAGGCACAAGAAACCAGGCACAGUAUAAAAUAUACAAAUAAAACAGGUACCAAGGAACUUAAAACAUUCAACCCAUAACGUCGUCUAGGUUUUUCUGCUUUAAGAAAAUUGACUCAAUUCUUCCAAGAGAAUAACCCUAUUAAAGGCUAAAAAUGGAAGCUCCCAGUUAUGUAGAAGAUAUUUCCAUCUGGAUCCGUCUUAGAAAGUGGAAACAGGAAAUGGCUUAAUCCUAGAGGAGAAGAUAAGACUGGAGAAAUUACUGGGGAAAGGGCGGUUAAGGGCUUUCUGCAAGAGCUUGAGACUAUCCCUGUGGCACCCCCUACCACAGCCCUAGGAACAAUAGCAUAAGAUCCUUGCACCAAUAAAUGUCACAGAAAGGAUGGAGUUUUCUGCCUUUAAAUGAAAUGUGGACUUUGGCAUUGAGCAUCUCAGCAGCCACUGUGAUGAAUUGAAGACCAGAGAAAUUUUCCUAUUUUCUGGGCACUAGGUCAGAUUCCUGGAAAUAUCUGGAGGGUAAGAACCAGUGAAUGAAAAGAGAUGGUUAAUGCUUUGCAGUGAAGGAAAAGUGACUCGCAUCAGUAGAUUACUAUGAAGCUGCAAGAGGGCCCAGAAAAAAAAGUCACCUUGGAUUUCCAUUCAUGAAUACA